AAACUACGUCGAUUGUCGAACCUAAAUUAUUUGCGGGCAGGUAAGUUUUGGUCAGGGCUGGCAAGUUUUACAUCUAUGCAGCCCUGUGGUCUGGAUGAAUGUUUCUUGAGUUUCAUACUCUGCUAUAACAUGUCGGCUUUGAG